rnacentral:rRNA from 1 species
CCUGGCGGCCAUAGCAAAGUGGCACCACCCGAUCCCAUCCCGAACUCGGAAGUGAAACGCUUUAGCGCCGAUGGUAGUGUGGGGUUUCCCCAUGUGAGAGUAGGUCACCGCCAGGU